UAAAAAGCAAUGAAAAGAUGAGUAAGUUCGUAAUGUUUUCAGAGAACUUGUGGUGGGUGUGAACAAGUAACUAAGCGGACUGAAGAUGGUCUUUGAGCGAAAGAUUGGCGAGCAUUAGUAAGCUAUCGAUGGUUAACUACCAAUAUCAAGUUAAUUAUGGCAACAUGAUAAGCUGGUUUUUACCAGGAAUUAAGGUGGUACCGCGUAUGAAACGCCCUUAAG
rnacentral:ncRNA from 1 species